CACGUCCUCGAGCCCCACGCAACUCCACUUUCUCUUCGUUUCUCUCCUCCUCCUCGAUCUCCAGCGCAUGGCCGCCGCCGCUCAUCCUUCUCCUCUUCUCUCACGUGCCACCAGGUUACUGGCCCCUCCACCUCGCCUUCCUUCUCUUCGUUGUCCGGUGGCCGUCGGCGGCGCCUGGAUCUGGAUCGGGUGCAGGUUAGGUGAGGCCGGUGGUUGGGUGAAUCCGGGCGCGGAUCCGGUCACUAGGCAGCGUGGGGCUGCGGAUCCGACGAGGUCAUGGCGACGGCCGCGGGUUCUCGUGGUGGUGCUCUGAGAGAGAGAGAGAGAGAGAGAGAGAGAGAGAGAGAGAGAGAGAGAGAGAGAGAGAGAGAGAGAGAGAGAGAGAGAGAGAGAGCCCAUUUUUAAUUUCUGCCCAGUUUGUUUUAUAUGCAUGUAUCUGGAGAAACUAAUGGGUAUAACAGUGAUUGUUCUUUCUGUGUAUGUUUUCUUUUGGAUCGGUUCAUUUUUUGCUAUUUCUCCUUCACUGCAGGAUGUUUGUUGUUCAUUCCUUUUACCUGCAUUUAUAUCUGCCUAUAGCCUAUUUUUAAUUUCUGCCUAGUUUGUUUUAUAUGCAUGUAUAUGGACAAAUUAAUUGGGUAUAAUAGUGAUUAUUCUUUUUGUGUAUGUUUUCUUUUGGAUUGGUUCAUUUUUGGCUAUUUCUCCCUCACUGCAGGAUAUUUGUUGUUCAUUCCUUUUACCUGCAUUUAUAUCUGGCCAAUGUGUAAAUUAGCCAAUCGUUUUUUGGCAUCCACACUGCAUGAUCUACCUAUGUUUGUUUCGACUUGUGCCUGGCCAUGCUGCUAUACAGAUACUCAAUUGUUGUUUUCUCCCAUGUCUAACCGCACACAUCUACUAUUUUUGUUAUAGAUUUUGCCUGCUUGGCAAAGUGUAAAAAAGGCAAUACCUGCUCGGCAAAGUAUAAAAAGGCAAAGAGCUGAGAAAGAAGAGAAGAAGAGGAAUCUAGCAGAGGAAUGUGAAUAUUCUCUCUUGUGGAACACAAUAAGGGCUGGAUCGUCUCUCUCAACAAUUGUGAACAAUUUGAGUGAUCCUUGGUCAUGUAUAUGAAUCUUGGUGGAUAAAAGUACAUACAGCUGAUGUACACAUGACUUCGUGAGCGUCUGUCGAGGUUCUUAGUGAGUGCUUCCUCAAAGAUGCUUUCAGAUCAUUGAUUGCUUAUUGCCCUAUAUAUGCCUGCGAGGUGUAUCUCCUUUUCGUUUACACCCUGAAUAGGAUACAUGGUGUUCAUUUCUGUUCGAUUUAUUUAUUUUAUUCUUGUGUAGUUUGGUUUUAGAAAUGAAGCAUGAUGUGGUUAGUUUUGCAUCUAGCACACUUGCCGCUGUUACACAUAAUUGUACUUCUGUUUUCUAUUGUCGCUUUCUCAGUUUCUUAAGGCUAGGACAUUUCUUAAGGCUAGAGUAGUAUUGUUCUAGAUUUUGUAGCUGAAAGAUUAAUGAAACUGUUUGUACUAACUUUUAUUUUUCUAGCAUUUGUUCCAUAUAAGAGAGAUAGCAUAUUUAAUAUUGUACUGAAAUAAUGAUAAUUGUGGAGUGUUCUAAAGAAAAGGCUAGCAGUCCUCUAUUUGCAUGUCUGCUGGUUUGAUGCAAGACAAGAGACCUAUGCAUAAUUAUGUAUCUUGCUUGCACUAUCUACAUUUCCUGUUUUGGUGCUAAACCCAUAGGUUUCGUGCUAAACCCGUAGGCUUCGUGGUUUUACUCCUAGAGCGGUAGAUUCAUUGAUGAUAUGUUGAUGCGGUCCACUUGGUGUUCUUGCUUGGCAGGAGAGAAAAAAGCAUCUUUGAGACGCUUGAUCGUUCAUGCCGUGGUUGGAUGAGAAUGGAGAACUAUAAUGCAAAUGGAGGACUGUCCAUACAAAUUUUGUUUUAUUGGUCAGACUAUUUGUUCAUUUGGCUAUCUUAAUGCAGUCCCAUGUGCAUACUUUUUGCAGGCAUCAGUGAAGAUUUGGGAGGCAGGGAGGGAAUGCUCAAGUGGAAACAAAGUAAGGACCAAGCAGCUCAAGAUUUUACUACUACCUUGCUAAUAGCUUUGUGAGAAUCAGACAAUGCAUGGUGUGGGUCGAGAUGAUGUCCAGUCGCCUCCCUCAUCACCUAGACAACGCUACGGAGGGCUCAAAGGUUGAACCUGAAUGUGCUUGUUCCUAUCUCUGGUUCAUCGGCCUCCCGAGACACUCUUGAGCACUCUUGGUGCAGACACAGAUUCAAACUCAUGGAUGCUGACUAUGGUGAACUGCCAAUCACUACUGACAGGGCCGUACCUAAGAAUCUAAGGGCCUGGUGCAAAAUUUGGAAUUAGGCCUUUAUAUGGAAAUGCUAAUUAUGAAGUCAAUAUGAUAGUAAUUAUUAACCGGAAAUUACUAAUAGGGUUCAAACUCCAUGGAACCCGAAAUUUGAACAUUUUUUCUUCAAAUUUUAUGUUUCAAAGAAUACACACAUACCUAUGGAUGUAUACUACUUUUUGUAAAGUUUAAUGCCAAAAUACGUUUUAUGCAAGGUACACAAAAAUAACAAAAUUAUGUAUUUCUUGCACAUAGUAUCCACUAUAAAGUACAUACAAGAUUUGUUUUUUGUACAACUCAUACCAAAAUGUAUUUCACAAUGAAAUUUUACACAAAUCUACAAGUACUUGUGUAUUUAUAUUUACUUUUUAACUUAAAAAAUGUCAAUUUUUGAAAAUAAAUAAAUAAAUGUGGAGCCUGAGAGCUACAAAGCCUCACUCAUUUAUUAGCAUACAAUAAACAUAAUCUUUUGAAUAAUAACACAAGAGCGAUGGAUGAUGGGAAGAAAAACUAAAUAGAUGACAGCAGAGCGCAUGGAUCCAUUUCUUACCUCAAAUAUCUCUAAAGAAUUUGCAAAGUGAUUCGCUGAAAGGAGAACAGAGGAAACCUCCCUUUGGAUUCUGAUGCAUGCGAAAUUUCCUAAUCCAACUUGACGUUGAUUAAUAUCACUAACUGCUACUAUUAGAGAGGGAGAGAGGAUGGGUACUGGUUGGCGUUGGAAGCUAGAAGGUUCCACUGGACGUUAUACAUUCCUUUAUUAUCCUCUUGAUUAACGUUGUUAAUUGCUAUUUUAAGAUAAAUUCAGGGGCCCCAAAAUUUUAUGGGGCCCUGUGCCGUUGCACACCCUGCACCUGCUUGUGAUACGGGCCUGACUACUGAAGACGGAACUACUGCUGUCACAGCCCGCUUGAAGGGUGUUGAUAAAAGGGCCACCAUGACUAGAGGCUGGAGCGACUUCUUCCAUCAGGCACACAUGAACAAAGGGCAAGCAUAUGCUUUUGCCUUCAAAUGCACUUCCAAGGGACUACUCCUGAUUGUCUACUCAAUAUAAGCAAGUCGCAAGAGCCCCUUGUUAUAUAACUUUUUUUUUUGCGGAAACCCUUGUUAUAUAACUUAGCAUUAGUGUAGAUGCCUACCAAGACUUCUAUGUUUAUCAUCCUUUUGGAUCUUAUGUAAUCACCUGAGACCAUACUGUGCGUUUAACUACUGGUUAUUUCCUUCUUAGACUGUUGUGUGCUAUGCUUUUCAAACAACUAUGAUGACAGAAAUAUAUGCUUUCACAUUGAAGUGCA